CACUGGGAGGGAUUGGGGUGACACUGGGAGUGGAUCAGGGUGACACUGGGUGUCACUGGGAGGUGACCAGGGUGACACUGGAGUCACUGGGAGUGGAUCAGGGUGACACUGGGUGUCACUGGGAGGGUCAUGGUGACACUGGGUGUCACUGGGAGUGGACCAGGGUGACACUGGGUGUCACUGGGAGGGUCAGGGUGACACUGGGGUCACUGGGAGGGUCACGGUGACACUGGGUGUCACUGGGUGGAUCAUGGUGUCACUGGGAGUGGAUCAUGGUGACACUGGGUGUCACUGGGUGGAUCAUGGUGACACUGGGUGUCACUGGGAGUGGAUCAUGGUGACACUGGGUGUCACUGGGUGGAUCAGGGUGACACUGGGUGUCACUGGGAGGUGACCAGGGUGACACUGGAGUCACUGGGAGUGGAUCAGGGUCACACUGGCUGUCACUGGGAGUGGAUCAGGGUGACACUGGGAGUGGAUCAGGGUGACACUGGGUGUCACUGGGAGGUGACCAGGGUGACACUGGGUGUCACUGGGAGUGGAUCAGAGUGUCACUGGGAGCGAAUCAUGGUGUCACUGGGAGUCACUGGGAGUGGAUCAGGGUGACACUGGGAGUGGAUCAUGGUGACACUGGGGCCCACCCGAGCAAUUCCCGCCGAACCUCGCCGUGUCCCCGCUGCCACCCAGGCGCCACCCAGCUGCCACCCAGGUGCCACCCAGGUGCCACCGACACCCUGUCCUUGUCCCCAAACGUGU